AUUGAACGCUGGCGGCAUGCCUUACACAUGCAAGUCGAACGGUAACAGGUCUUCGGAUGCUGACGAGUGGCGAACGGGUGAGUAAUACAUCGGAACGUGCCCGAUCGUGGGGGAUAACGAAGCGAAAGCUUUGCUAAUACCGCAUACGAUCUACGGAUGAAAGCAGGGGACCGCAAGGCCUUGCGCGAACGGAGCGGCCGAUGGCAGAUUAGGUAGUUGGUGGGAUAAAAGCAUACCAAGCCGACGAUCUGUAGCUGGUCUGAGAGGACGACCAGCCACACUGGGACUGAGACACGGCCCAGACUCCUACGGGAGGCAGCAGUGGGGAAUUUUGGACAAUGGGCGAAAGCCUGAUCCAGCCAUGCCGCGUGCAGGAUGAAGGCCAUCGGGUUGUAAACUGCUUUUGUACGGAACGAAAAGACUCUGGUUAAUACCUGGGGUCCAUGACGGUACCGUAAGAAUAAGCACCGGCUAACUACGUGCCAGCCGCCGCGGUAA
rnacentral:rRNA from 1 species